rnacentral:lncRNA from 1 species
AUGGUACGUGACCCAGCCUUGACCUAUCCCGGGACUGCUGACGUGGCGGCGCGGCCCCGAAACUCUCCCCCCCAGGAGGAGAGAGGCUGGAGUGCCGCCCCCCCCACCGCUGCAGUUUCCGGGGGGGUGACACCCCGGAUUACACCCUCCCCCCCCACAACGCGCCGAGGGGAGCAGCAGAGCCCCCGCGGGAGGGUUGCCGGAGCCAGGGACCCAACUGCAGCUGUAGCGUCUUGGAGAACAACAACCAGCAGCCAAGUCCAACUGCCACGCCCCCGCCCGGGCGCAAGACCAACGACGCCCACGUGGCCCCCAUUCCUGUUUUACCCCCCCCUUCUUGCCCAUCGCCCGCACAGCCAGCCAAUAAGAGAUCAACGAAUGGCACUACCCGCCCCGCCUUCACCAAUUGCCUGAUUUGCCAGAAAGAUUUGGAGGAGAGGAAGACGGCGGCCGGAAGGGAUGGAGCUGUGGGUGUGGGAGACCCCGCUGCUCUGGCAUACCCUCCCUUCCCCCGACCUUCCUCCCGCUCAUGGGUCUCCGGACCAUCGUACAGCCUAUUGGCGCCUGCAGUGGGCGGGCUGUGGCUCCCCUAUGGGCCAAUGUAGCGAAGCUCUGCCUGGUGACUGAAGCUGAGGAGGCAGGCCAGUGAUGUCAUUACUGUAGUCCACCAAUGGGGAAGUCGCCCGCGGAGGGGCGGGCUUCUAGGCCUCCCCUCCCCCCGUGCGUGUGCGCUCUGGCCAGAAGGGAAGUCGCGAGCACGGCGGUGAGCGGGAGCUGCGGAACUCCGCCCUCUCCCCCACCCCCCACCCCCGACUAUAUAUAAAGGGCCAGCGCGGAGCUCGGCGGCGCCAUUUCGCGCUGGAGCAGAGCGGCCUGUAGGUUGGGGGAGGAGGAUUGGGCCCUCGGCUACAGAGGCGGCAAAUCUCCCGAGUUCGCCAUUACAAUCCACAUCCAUCCGCUCGGAGAUGUCCCUUGGCCUGGCCUGGGACCAACCUUGGCGUGUACCGCAGACCCUAUAGAGACCUUCGGAGCUACUCUUUCUUGGGCCCCGCCCAAUACGCCGGGCCUGUCUGCGGCGCCAUCCCGCCCCCUCCUCCGCCCUUAAGAGGAGAUCAAAGAUGGAGGCGUCGGCGCUCUAAUCUGCUCCCUCGGUGUCUAUCCGCUGCCAUCCGACUCCAGAACCGGCUUCUAGUCACUUCGAUUAUCCCUGGCCGAAAGUGAGGAACCGGGACCAGCAGCAGCAGGUCGUAUUUAGUUGGCAGUGGUAGGAAUCCGGGCUCUGUUGCUGGGUCCGAAGAGGCACCCGCUCCGACCCCUAGCUCGUUCGCCCUGACUCCGGGCCGCCGCCAUUUUCUAACCGGCCGCCGCCUGAGCAGCGCGCCGUGGCGCUGAGGCCUCCCCCAGGUGCAGCGGA